AUAAUAAGUGUUUUAUGGCACUUUUUAAAUCCAUAUCCACCCUGUGUGCAAUGUCAGUCGAUCUUCUUCAGGAGAUCGACCAAACAUCAACCUUAUCUUUAACCUUUGUCUGAAAAAUAUUAUGAAUAAACAAUUCAAAAUA
rnacentral:misc_RNA from 1 species